UACGUAGGGUGCAAGCGUUGUCCGGAAUCAUUGGGCGUAAAGCGCGCGUAGGUGGCUUCGUAAGUCCGUUGUGAAAGUCAAAGGCUCAACCUUUGAAAGCCGAUGGAUACUGCGGAGCUAGAGUACGGAAGAGGCGAGUGGAAUUCCUGGUGUAGCGGUGGAAUGCGCAGAUAUCAGGAGGAACACCAAUAGCGAAGGCAGCUCGCUGGGACGUUACUGACACUAAGGCGCGAAAGCAUGGGGAGCGAACAGG
rnacentral:rRNA from 1 species